rnacentral:rRNA from 1 species
AGCAGCCGCGGUAAUUCCAGCUCCAAUAGCGUAUAUUAAAGUUGUUGCAGUUAAAAAGCUCGUAGUUGAAUUUCGGGAUCAAUUAAUUGGUCGUGCCUCUGGUACGUACUGAUUUUAUUGGUUUCUCCCUUCUGACGAACCAUGAUGUCAUUAAUUUGGUGUCGUGGAGAAUCAGGACUGUUACUUUGAAAAAAUUAGAGUGUUUAAAGCAAGCUAACGCUUGAAUACAUUAGCAUGGAAUAAUGAAAUAGGACGUUUGAUCCUAUUUUGUUGGUUUCUAGGAUCGACGUAAUGAUUAAUAGGGAUAGUUGGGGGCAUUAGUAUUCAGAUUGUCAGACGGUGAAAUUCCUCUGGAUUUAUUGAAGACUAACUACUGCGAAAGCAUUUGCCACAGGAUGUUUUCAUUAAUCAAGAGCGAAAGUUAGGGGAUCGAAGACGAUCAGAUGACCGUCGUAGUCUUACCCAUAAACUAUGCCGACUAGGGAUCGGAUGAUGUUAAUUUUUUAAUGACUCA